rfam:Picea glauca, whole genome shotgun sequence.
AUGUACAUCCUCACAAUGUAGAGUCAAUGCACCAGAUCCCAUUAGAAAUUCGUAGUUAAGCGCUGUCGGGCUAGAGUAGUAUUGGGAUGGGUGACCAUCCGGGAAGUCCUAGUGUUUUACAUG